rnacentral:rRNA from 1 species
UACGUAGGGGGCAAGCGUUGUCCGGAUUUAUUGGGCGUAAAGAGCGUGUAGGCGGCCAGGUAGGUCAGCUGUGAAAACUCGAGGCUCAACCUCGAGACGCCGGUUGAAACCAUCUGGCUAGAGUCCGGAAGAGGAGAGUGGAAUUCCUGGUGUAGCGGUGAAAUGCGCAGAUAUCAGGAAGGACACCCGUGGCGAAGGCGGCUCUCUGGGACGGUACUGACGCUGAGACGCGAAAGCGUGGGGAGCGAACAGG